UCCGCCAGGGUACUACGAGCAUAGCUUAAAACCCAAAGGACUUGGCGGUAUCUCAGACCCACCUAGAGGAGCCUGUUCUGUAAUCGACAACCCCCGUUAAACCUCACCACUUCUGGCCCGCCCCGUCUAUAUACCGCCGUCGCCAGUUUACCCUGUAAAGGACUAACAGUAAACAAAAUGGGCUCACCCAAAAACGUCAGGUCAAGGUGUAGCGAAUGAAGUGGGAAGAAAUGGGCUACAUUUUCUACAUCAGAAUAUAUACGAACGGCACCCUGAAAUAUAGUGCCCAAAGGUGGAUUUAGUAGUAAAAAGUAAA
rnacentral:rRNA from 1 species